AACCCCGAGUGCCAGCAUCAAAUGUUGGCUGUCCGGAUGAUUAAAGAUCAUUUGUUAGCAAGGGCCGGGCAAGACCGGUGCCAGCCGCCGCGGUAACACCGGCGGCCCGAGUGGUAGCCGUUUUUAUUGGGUCUAAAGGGUCCGUAGCCGGCCUGAUCAGUCCUUUGGGAAAUCUGGCAGCUUAACUGUCAGGCUUCUAAGGGAUACUGUCAGGCUUGGGACCGGAAGAGGUAAGGGGUACUCCAGGGGUAGGAGUGAAAUCUUGUAAUCCCAGGGGGACCAUCUGUGGCGAAGGCGCCUUACCAGAACGGGUCCGACGGUGAGGGACGAAAGCUAGGGGAGCAAACCGGAUUAGAUACCCGGGUAGUCCUAGCUGUAAACGAUGCUCGCUAGGUGUCAGACACGGUGCGACCGUGUUUGGUGCCGCAGGGAAGCCGUUAAGCGAGCCACCUGGGAAGUACGGUCGCAAGGCUGAAACUUAAAGGAAUUGGCGGGGGAGCACUACAACGGGUGGAGCCUGCGGUUUAAUUGGAUUCAACGCCGGAA
rnacentral:rRNA from 1 species